rnacentral:rRNA from 1 species
UACGUAGGGGGCGAGCGUUGUCCGGAAUUAUUGGGCGUAAAGGGAGCGUAGGCGGACUUUUAAGUGAGAUGUGAAAUACCCGGGCUCAACUUGGGUGCUGCAUUUCAAACUGGAAGUCUAGAGUGCAGGAGAGGAGAAUGGAAUUCCUAGUGUAGCGGUGAAAUGCGUAGAGAUUAGGAAGAACACCAGUGGCGAAGGCGAUUCUCUGGACUGUAACUGACGCUGAGGCUCGAAAGCGUGGGGAGCAAACAGGAUUAGAUACCCUGGUA